AGCCUGAAUAUUUUAAUAUUAGGACUUUUAUCCGUUAGCUAUUUUUUUUAAUCUCAAUUCAGGAUUUGAAAGCUUAGUUUUGUUUAAGUUCUGUUUUAUCCGAACGGAGAGGUGAUGGUCCUAACCACUACUUAGGUGUUGCCAAAAUAGUAUGGCUUUAGACGGUUAAUAAUAAUUAACUUACGCUAUUUCAAAGUUUAGACGAGGCCAAAAGAUACCAAAACGUUCUACCCACUAGUAGAGAAGGUGUCGGUCAUAGAACAAACAUGAAGGGUUCAGGCUGCAAUGAUUUUUCCAUUAAUGGCCAUUUGUCAUCCAUAAUAGCGCCUGUGUGAUUUAUACUUGGGUUAAUAGCACUAUUUCUGCAACUUAAAAUAAUCCAAACUUUAAUCAACAUCACAAAAUGCACCUAUUUGCUUUGUGAUAAUUGGGAGCUGUGCCGUGUUCCAUUACUUGUACUUCCAUGAGUAUACUUAAAGGAAUAGUAUAUAUCCGUAUACUCAUAGGCGUCGAUUACGCCGGGGACGCGUCCCCACCAGUUUUCGUAAAGACUAAUUUUGUCCCCACCAGAAAAAAAAUAAAAUAAAAAAAAAUAAAAUUGAAUGCAGUUUUUUAAAAAUGAAUGUUAAUAGCGCGAGACAGAUGCGAACCAAUCCAUCUGGAUACGGCACACAGCCGUCAACAAUUUGCAACAAUUAUAACAUUUGGAUGAGUAGUUCUAGAAUGGGGGAGGGGUGGGUGGUACGGUGGGCGGCUCCUUCUCUGUGUAAUCCGAACCUGACAGCUUCCUGCGCACUUCCAUGGACAAUCUGCUGCGGUUGCAGCCUCAUGCAUUUGAGGAGAGGAGGUCCGGAGGAGGAACUUGUUUCUGCCAACUCACCUCUUCAUUGCCAUCUACCAGUUCCUGCCUUUCAUUAAGCCCUGAUGCACUUGGUUCCUGUUCCUUAUAAAUAAAUAAAAAUGUGUUAACUCAAUUGAUUAUGCCCUCUAUUUUAUGAGAUUUAUGUGGUGUGCAAACAAAAGUCUUGUAACCUUUAUUGUAAUGAUAUGACCACUAUGACGGUAUGUUGGUUGUGGUAUAUGUUAUCAAUAUUGUAAUUGGUUUUUGACAAAAUAUAGGUUUGGAGUGUGCGGUUGCCUGGUACCAUGGUUGUUACUUGGUACAAAUAAUAUGGAUGAUUUACGACCAUCUAGUGGGGAGUCUGAAAACUGCUAACGAAACGUUAUUGAAGUGAAAAUAAAAUUAAUCAU
rnacentral:lncRNA from 1 species